rnacentral:lncRNA from 1 species
GUCCCAGUCAGUAACACUCUGGGAGGGCUCAGGCCACAUCACGAAAUGUGACAGGAUAGCCUUGAACUCAUCAAUUGCUGGGGGCACCUCAAACUCAACUCCAAAAUUGAUCUAAUGAACUUUCCCAAACCACAUUCCCUUCUUGCAUUUCUGAGAGAAUGGAUUCCCAUUCAUCUGACUACAGUGCUACCCUGAAAGCAGAUCCAGAGACUAAGAUUCACCUGCAGGUGAUUCAUUUGCAAGGUAAGCUGUCAUCAGUUGGAGGUAAGCAGAAGACAGUAGAGAGUACAGAGCCCUGGACUGUGACUCAGAGGAUGAGCACCAGAUCCAGUUUGCUGUGCCACAGUGCCUUCUCCAAAGUCACUCACAGAAGGCAUCCCACUCAACCUCACCUUGGGGUAAAUCAAAAUAGUCCUCCUUCUGAAGCUACCGGGUAAAACGGUGGUAGCUGUGCAGCUGCUGCUGAUCAACAGGCUCCAGAAACAGCAGCAGGAGCUCAGCAUGAUGUAAACUCCACUGCGGACAGAUGCAGCCAAGAAGACAGGUCACCUUCUACCAACUCCCACCAGAGGAAACUCUUCCCCAGGACCCAGUACGUUGGCCCUCUGACCCUGCACACAGCACAUGAUGCUGAGGUUCAGUGCUGAACAAGAGCUACUGAGAGCCAGAGAUUCACUUCUUCCAUGGAGCCCCACUCAUGGAUGGAGGCUCUGUCCCGGGUCCAGUGCCACUGGGAACACUGGGUCUCUGGUUUCUAGCUCUGUCCUAUGGCAGAGGUUCCACCCCACAAUAACCGAAGUGCUGAGAAGGUGGGAAGCUCCUGCCCGACCCUCCACUGAGAGCUCAGCUCCUAGGCUGAGGAAUAAAACAGCUCAACUUUGUCUACACCUGCAGAACCUUGUUUAGGAGCUCUGUCCCAGGAGAGAGGGGGCAAUGGAAUUCAGUCAUAAAAUAUGAUCCUUAAUUAGUCCUAAAAAUCCUAACUUCAGUAACAGCAGAUUGUGGACAAAUUGAAAGCCUGCCAGUGCUCUCAAAAACAGUGGAUGGUGUGGUGGAAAGCCCUUGGAAGGAGACGGGUGGAUGCAUGGGAGAUGCAGGCUACACUGCAGGGCUGCUGGCUUGCAGGAGAGAACCGAGGACAAGGGAGAGCUGGGGAAAGUUCUCUUGUGGUUGAAAUAAAUGCCAGACACUCUUCAAUGGA